UUGUUUACAAAGGCUGAGCAUUUACCUGAGGCCAUGAGAUAAUCAACAUUCAAGGCAUGGCAAUUCAUGUUUUGGAGGGUUUUGAGGAAAAUAGAUUACAUAGGUCUGGUUGUACCUUGGAGGACCAGUCCAGAACAGAAAGGAUUUUGAAGAUAGAGAAAUCUGUGAAUAUUGGCACUGAGCAAAAGUUUCUUUACCAAGAUUCAUUAGAGAAGAGUCCAUUUUACCAGUUUCUAGUAUGUGGCUUAUAUUCUAAAAACUAAUUGUAGACCAUUUUUGUAACUUCUCUACGUGAGUUUUCAAGUUUUGUAUGGGAUAACUUUUUUAAAUGCCUUUGGAAAUAGAAAUUAGGAGGCUGGCACAUGUUCUUCAAGAGAAUAAGCAAUUGACCUUUAUCCCAUUUAACCAAAUAACAUAUAAGAAAGCGUUUGAAUUGCCAAGGAACUCUCAGAAUAGAAUGAAAGGGUUGGACUUGUAGAAAUUUAUAGACAUCUAUAUCGAUGUAUGCAAUACAGAUAGUUAUCACCGUUGAGAUGUGUAUCAAAGCUUAUGGGCCAGUCUUCCGGGAACUUUUUUUCAAGAUGGCCGACGGCACUACAAGGAAAUCACUUUUUUUGCCUUUCCACCUUCCUUUUUUUUCUACAGCAGACAAGUUGGCAGGAGCUUCAGCAGCUAGCUUGGAUCCUGAGUAGACACGAGGCUGGAGGUCAGGAGCUCCACAUAAUGAAGAAAAAAGAUGGCACAAACUUAAAUCUCUGAUAACCACAGAGCUACCUACCAUCCCAGCUCUGGACUGUCCCCAGUAGGCUUCUUUUACUGGAGAGAAAAAUCAAACUUGAUCUUGUUUAAGCCACUUAUUUGAGUUUUCUGUCAAAAGCAGCUAAACCUGAUAUGUCGUAUCUUUAACAAAACUGGGCCAAUGAGAGAGAGACUGAGAAGGCUGUGUGUUUCAAGUAAUAUAGGAGAUUCUAAUACUUGGUAUCUGAGUGUUCUAAUCAGCUGGGUUUACUGGGUAAAAGGAACAGAAGGGAUAUGGAUAUCAGCUCAAUAAAGUCCUGCUGGGUGAAUGCCAUUGGAUUCCUAGGGGCAGGUGCUGUCUUAGGUCCUUUUGCUGGAAAACAGUUUGAGGUGGAGAUUUGCAUGCAGUAGGGAAGGAAACAGGAUUAGGCGGAAGAGCUGAGCUGCAGAGCAGUCCCAAAAGAGUGCUCAGGAUCUGUUGAAAAGUUCUGGAGCUGAGGCAGCCUUGCAUGUGUUAGGCUGUGUCAUGACAAGGGAGCUGUGUCUUUUUAUCCCCGCAUUAGCCAGUCACUGGAUGUGAGCUGCCCCUGGAGGGGAGGCCUGAACUUGCAGGCGGAAACACCAUCCUGCCCAGGGCAGUGCUCAGA